rnacentral:rRNA from 1 species
GACGAACGCUGGCGGCGUGCUUAACACAUGCAAGUCGAACGGAAAGGCUCUGCUUUUGUUGGGUGCUCGAGUGGCGAACGGGUGAGUAACACGUGAGUAACCUGCCCUUGACUUUGGGAUAACUUCAGGAAACUGGGGCUAAUACCGGAUAGGAGCUCCUGCUGCAUGGUGUUGGUUGGAAAGUUUGGGCGGUUGGGGAUGGACUCGCGGCUUAUCAGCUUGUUGGUGGGGUAGUGGCUUACCAAGGCUUUGACGGGUAGCCGGCAUGAGAGGGUGACCGGGCACAUUGGGACUGAGAUACGGCCCAGACUCCUACGGGAGGCAGCAGUGGGGAAUAUUGCACAAUGGGCGGAAGCCUGAUGCAGCAACGCCGCGUGCGGGAUGACGGCCUUCGGGUUGUAAACCGCUUUCGCCUGUGACGAAGCGUGAGUGACGGUAAUGGGUAAAGAAGCACCGGCUAACUACGUG